CCACACUUUCACUGAAACAAGGGGAAGGCUCACAUAGAGGCAGCAGUAGAGAAUCUUGUGCAAUGCACGAAAGUAUGACACAGAGAGGACACAUUUAAUUGAGCCUGUCAAAUUAAGUGCCAGCCGACGCGGUUAGACUUAAGGGCUGGUCUUUAUAAGUAAAAAGGCGUAAAGGAUGUGUAGGCCAAGAAAUUAUCCAAGAAGGUAAAUGGAAUUUUUCUGGAGCGGUAGAAUGUGAGGAUAGAAAAUAGAACACCUAAGGUUAAAACUAUUUACCACAAGAUAGGCUGAAACAUGAAAGUGUGGGGAGCAAACAGGAUUAGAGACCCUGGUAGUCCACUCUGUGAACUUUGAAGAUGAUGCUUAGCAGACCCGAAAGGUAAAAUCUUCCGCCUGAGUAGUACGAUCGCAAGAUUAAAAUUCAAAAACUUUGGCUGUUCACUAUUUCGAUUAGAGGAGCGUGUAGUUUAAUUCGAUGGUCCGCGUGUUACCUUACCCCAGCUUGAAUCUGUGACCGGUAUUGCAUGGCCGUCGUAAGUCCGUGUGUUAAAUUAGAAGGGACUCAACCCGGGCCCCCGCCCGGAGGAAGUCAGGUCUUAUGAUCCGAAUGCUGGGGGAUUUUAUGCGCUACAUUUUCUUAUAUAAUGAGAGACUUGAAAGGUAAGCCUCUAAAGUAAGAGUUCGGAAGGUCGCUGUAAAACGACUGGAAGUUGGAUUUAAUAGUAAUCGGAAAGUAGGGCGUUCCGGUGAAUUGGUACAAGUGUUAGCACAAAUUGCCCGUCACCUUUACCUAGAAUGGUUAUUCGGACGCCUUCGGUGGUUACGAAUGCCUACGAGG
rnacentral:rRNA from 1 species